UCCUUUUAUUAGGUUGUCCUAGAUUGAUUUCAUAUUCUGGUUAAAAGAUGAUUAUUUAUCCUCGCUCGGUUCAAGAUGUAGACUAUCAGUAAAGUAAAUAUUUUCAUUUUUAUUCUCUAAAAAAGUAAAUUCAAUUUUUUUAUAUCCAACUGAUGAACCUUUUAAAUUCCCUGUACCUUUCAACAACAGCUUCGGCGCUUUAUUUGUUGGUAUGUCAUAUCUUUUA
rnacentral:antisense_RNA from 1 species